AGCUAAAUUUUUAAUGUCUGAUCAGACUGCUCCUGGGAGAGUUAGGCACUGCAAAACAAGCUUAACUUGUAAUAUACACAUUGACCACGAACCAUGGACAAAAGGCAGCAUGAUAUUUUGAAGAGUUGCAAAGGCUUCAUGAUCAAGCAUGUACCAGAAAAUCCAUACUGAUAGUUACAUUAACAUUGAUAUCCUCUUAAGAAAUAUCCCUGCUAAGUAAAAUUCUAACUAAAUGUUACAAAUCUUAGUUUUCCUAGGAUCCUAUAUAGAAUCAAUGCUAGUAUUUCGAUACACAUGAAUUGUAAAACAUCAUGGUUUUCAGGGUAAUUUGAGACUAACACCAAGCACUAUCCAUAAAGCAGUAUUAAAAACAGACUUAAAAGUGCAUUUUUGCUAACAAAAGUCACAAUGUUUCUGCCUAACAGCCGGUGGAGAAACUAUAUUACCUGUAUAUCCAUUUCAAGCUUAAUACUUCAACUGAUGACAUCAAAGUGAGCUCCAGAGUAGGACCAAUGCCAGAAUACGCAUUAGAGAUUGCCACCUCUGAUUUAAGAUUCUUUUGACCAGUCAGAAAGAAACAUUUUGCUUUCUAGCUGAAUCUUUUACCAUUUGAAUAGGCUGAAAUUUAAUGCAGACUAUUUCAAAUUUGAGCACACCUGAUGAAAUAUAAAACAUGAAUCGGUUUAAGACUUCAGAAUACCACAGACUUAUUGCAGACAUAUCACUGUAUUCAGCUGUAUAAUCACCCAGCGCUUUUUUGCUGAGCACUUGCAUUAAAACUGCUUUGUGUAUAAAUGAAAUUUGUCUUUCAAACUGAGGUUUUUUCAGAAUUACCUUCAAGAGUGUGAUACAACUCCCCUGCAGCUUUUUUGGACAUUGGCUCCCUCUCCUGUUCAUUGAGCGCAAGCAAGAAACUGACCAAGUGCAGCCAAUUAAAGACAUUUCUCAGCACUUCCAUCGUUGUUAUUUGGAAGCAUGUUUCUGAGGAUGACAAGAAAAGAUUUUCUUAAGCAUCCAGUUGAAACUGAACCUUUUUCAUUGAAUUAAAAGCAAAAAAAAAAAAAAAAAAAAUUGAAACCAUGUAGAAGGAUUCUUCAAGUAAAGUCUUUACCUUUAGAGUCCACAUUAGAGAUGUACAUCUUAGAGUCCACUGCAGAGUUAAGAGAUGUCUAAAUAAAUACUACAUUUGAAUAGUAACAUACAAGAAGCUACAUGCAGUUCAGACAUGAAAUGUAUAUAUAGUAACAGCAGUAUAUAUGUAUGCAUAAAUGUAUAUAUAGUAACAGUAAUGUGAAAUGAAAAAGAGUAAGACCAAAUGGGCAAGCUAACCAGCGACCAGCAACAAUUUGUACAUGAGAAUUAAAAUUAUUCACUAUGGCAAAAAUUUGUGGAAUAGAAACUGUGGUACCUUUCCUUUAAAAAUACCCCUGGAAGGAAUAUAGACCUAAUAUCUAAUAUUCAGAGGAAUUGUCCCUCUAAUUGUCACUGGUGAAGCUGCACCACAAGUCCUGUGUCCACCUCUGGGCCCUCUCACUACAGGAAAAACAUUGAGGUGCUGGAGCAACUCCAGAGAAGGGCAACAAAGCUGGUGAAGGAUCUGGUGAAAAGAACAAGUCCUGCAAGGAAAUCUGAGGGACCUGGGGUUGGGAGUAUUCAGCCUGGAGAAAAGCAGGCUCAGUGGAGACCUUAUCACUCUCUACAACUGCCUGAAAGGAGGUUGUAACCAAGUGAGCCUCUUUUCCCAUACAAGAAGAAACAGGAGGACACAGCCUCAAGCUGUUCCAGGGGAGGUUCAGGUUGGACAUCAGGAUGAAUUUCUUCAAGGAAAGGGUUGUUAAGCACUGGAAUGGACUGCUCAGGGAGGUGAUAGUCACCAUUCCUGGAGGUGUUCAAGAACAACUGGACAUUGUUUGCACUUAGAGCCCAGCUGGCAAGGUGGUGGCUGGCCACUGGUUGGACCUGAUAAUCUUGGAGGUCUUUUUCAGCUGAAAUGAUUCAGUGAUUCUGUGAUCAGUAACAAAUAAAUUGACUAAAUAACUGGAACUAAAAUUACAGAAUCUGAUAGGAAACAUGGCAAGGUAUGGAGAAGUCUGAUUUCCUUUCCUCUCUGCUCUCCAAACAAAAAAAUCAACAGUAAAAGUAGAAAUAUGAUACAUACUGCCAGGGAAAGGCGGCUUACAGUCAAUGUAGGAGCACUCCUGCAAUGAAAUCUGCGUAAGAGCACCAGAUUAUUGAGGGUACUGGUUCCACAUAGGUGACAACCAUGAUAUUUUUAAAAUGCAGUGCGUGUGCAUCUUUCUUCUUAUCCCUAUACAUCAGGGAAUGCUCAUAUAAUCAUAUUGUAUUUCAUAGUAAAAAAAUAAACCCUGAGGCACAGUGAAGGUAAAAGCCACACAAAACUACCUGCUUUCGUUAGCUCUUAAAGAUUUAGAAUUAAAAAACACCAGUAAAAGGCAAUGUCCCAUAUCUUAAGAACUAUGAGACAUCUUAACAAGAAAUUGUCACCAGACACUCGUAACUGAAUGGGGCCAUCAGAAGUCAAUUUCUGUGAAUUAUUCUAAGGGUGAAAAUACAGCUUGGUAUUUCUGCUAAUAGCUUUUCAUUUGAGUGCUUAUGACCAGAAGACUGGUAGUGGGUAAGACAGGGACAGGACAGACUUACACACAAAAAUAUGCUUUAACACGUAGAGGAAAGGGAAGAUGGAUCUGGAGAGUGGGCGAUUCUGAAAGGAAAAGAAGCUGUGGCUCACAUUGCAUAAGCAAGCUGCAUUGAACAGCUUUAAUGAGAUGUAAAACCAGCAGAGUUAAUGACUUCUGAUUUCCACUGACAGGUUUAUUUUUAUCCAAGGGUGUUUAAAAUUAAAUGCAUAAAUAACCUAGAGAGAGCACACCUCCCCUGCUCCCAGGUAUGUAUUUUGAACACUUUGUUAUAGCUAGUUCAUCUUUUGCUAAUUUUCUUUUUAGCUUUCCUUUUGCAUAAUGACAGCUUCAAGAGAGGCACAGAGCAUCUUCUUCCCGGUACACAGGUUCAGUCUGUUGGUUAUAGCAGCCUUUUGGAAACUGAGGAUGUGAAUCUGAAUGGUGCUACAAAAGCAAACACCACCCACUUCUUUUACCUCCUGUGACACUGACUUCUAAGCAGAAAGCAAACAUUCAAAAGGUGACCAUCAUAUUUUCUGUAUUUCAGAUCAAAAGAACAAUCCUGGAAAAAACCACACAAGUACUCACAUGUAAGGUCUAAAUCAUGAGCAGAGUGACAGCUACCUGGAGUCCUGAUUCAGCAUUCGCAGCACUGGGAAGGGGCAGGAUUUCAUGCUCUUUCCCAGGGUUAACGUGUUCUACUGCUAGCUCUGGGCUGCUCACCUCCCAGAAUAAUCUGGUUUUCAGGACAUCAGUUUGAAAUGGUUCAACCCAUCCUCUAUGUAGUAAAUCAGACUUGUGUUGCCUUUAGCCCUGGAUGAGAUUUCAGAACGUGUUUUGGAUAAAGGCAAAUGACAAGGCUUAUGAUAGAGGUAAAUGUGUGCAUUUCAAUGGGUUUUGAUAUAUGUGAGAGACUAGAAUAUCUAAUUAUUACCUAUUAGCUGGUUUUGUUCUCCCCCCGAACAGGAAGAGGAUAGUGUACCACAUUUCUUUUAGAA
ensembl:lncRNA